ACUGAUCAGAUGGAAAUGGAGUGCUGCACAAAGACGGAAACCUGUGACGUGGAUCUCACUUAGUGGCGCAAGGGUCGAGUAACAACGUGGGUAAUCUACCUUCGAGUCUGGAAUAACAGUUAGAAAUGAUUGCUAAUUGCCGGAUGAUAAUAAGUGCGAUACGUCAAUCUUAUUUAAAAGGAGCCUUUAAAGCUUCGCUUGAAGAUGAGCCUGCGCCGUAUUAGCUAGUUUGGUGGGGUAAUGGCCUACCAAGGCAACGAUGCGUAGUCCGACCUGAGAGGGUGAUCCGGCCACACUGGGACUGAGACACGGCCCAGACUCCUACGGGAGACAGCAAGUUAGGAAUAUUCGUCAAUGGGGGAAACCCUGAACGAGCAAUGCCGCGUGAAGGAUUGACGGUCCUAUGGAUUGUAAACUUCUGUUGUUAGGGAAGAACGACCUGUAUAGGAAAUGAUACAGGAGUGACGGUACCUUUCAAGAAAGCUCCGGCUAACUACGUGCCAGCAGCCGC
rnacentral:rRNA from 1 species